rnacentral:lncRNA from 1 species
UUAUCACUAUCGCUAGUUAUGUCAAGCAUUAUCUACAGUAUACUGUAUAUUUAUUGACCAUUUUGUACCGCUGAACAUGUUUUACAUUCUUAAUUAAGCAAUUAUGUAAGAAUGUUCCACUCGUUUUUUUCCCAUCGAUUGUGGAAUUAAACAUGCAGGCUCCUUCCUAACUACGUAAUCAUGGAUGACACAUGGAAAAAGUGAUCACAUGCAAACUCAUGCACAUCAAAUUAUCACACAAUGUGUCCCUAUUGAUUAUCAAUGUCUUUUAACUAGAAGCUGCAGAAUCAAUUUCUAUUUCUGAAAUGCAUGAGGUGGACGGCUGUAAAUACUUUUUUGUUUUGUCCGUCCCAUACAGGAAGCAUCUGAGGUUAAUCGAAUAAUGAAGCUUCAGGAGCAAAAUGUAGAUAUGCACCACAGUUUGUGCCAGACUGCCGUGCGAAUGGAGUGCAUGGGCACCGAAUUUAAGAGCAGUCACCAGCUCCUCGAGUCAGAACUACAGAACACUUGUGUUGAGCUGAGCAACCUCCUGGACAAAUUCAAAAGACUUACAGAUAACAACUCCUACACUCAACAGACCAACAAUCUCCUGGAGCAGAAGCUUCAUUCAGUGGCUCAGAGUAUGGAUGGGGAGCAGGAGCAUUUGAACCAGCGGAUCACAUCCCUGACAGAUCAGCUGUCCUCAGCCAAGAACACCAUCCACAGCAUGGAGACUAUUAACGUAACAUCAUUGCUGCAGGAAGCCUUCGACCAACAUUUCCACCGAGAUGAUUCUGUCAAUCAAUUAAAUCUCCCUGCUGCGCCACCACCGGUCCAGUUCAUGGAUAGUCAUCAUUAUGGAAAGGUCACCGCCACAGGGGAGGACCUAUCACUGGGAACAUUGCCAGAAGAGGAGGAAUCGGAUUGGUCAGAAAUGGGGGAUGAGGCUCCAAAAUGUGCUCUGAGGUCAGGGGGAGAUCAUCAUGGUGGUACAGCGUUUCAACCGUGGAGACAAGAGCGUAUUAGCUGGGCAGGGCAAGGAGAAGGAGAGACAGAGAGUGAUUCAGGGAGUGAGGAUAUUGUCAGACAAAACCCUCCCCGCUCCCAGCAGGUCCCCCAUCUCACAAUUCACUCUGAGACCUUACCAGCCCCCAUAGAUGGUGUCACCCUCACCACCAUUUUCAAGAGCUCAGCUGAUGGCCCAACAGAGGAUGUGUACAGGGCCACUGCAAGCCGCAAACUAGGCUCUCCCAUCCGCAUCCUGUCAGCCAGUCUGGAUGAGAUCCCCUCCUGUAGGGGGAAGAAUCAAAGACAGGAGGAGCAGCAUGGCCAGCUAAAGGGCACAGAGGCCAUGAUGGACCUCCACCAACCAGAGGAUGGUACCAUGGAUGACUCAGAAGAUGAGAUCAUCCGUAACUGGAGGACAAGGAGCGGGGACAUGGGUGAUGAUGGCGGUGUGGAUACCACGGAGGCAGAUCCUGGCAGCAGUCUGGAAAACUUGCAGUCGGCCCAAAAUAUGCUCAACCACUUCAUCUGCCAGCUGCAGCCCAGCGAGGGGGAGGACAUGGGAUACCGGACAAAGUGCUGAAUGGGGAAAGAACACAGCUGUGACACCUGAUCUCUUCACAGAGACACAGAUGUUGACUGGGUUGGUGCAUAGUUGUUUAAGUAAUUAAACUUAAGAGUGAUUUUUGUUACAUUUGAUAUUCAUAAUUCAUCUAUGAGUAUGUUGUAUUUUAAACAUAAAGCAACAGAAUUGGUCUUUAUAACCAAUUUAAUAAUAAUAAUUUAAGUUAUAAUUCAAUUAUUUAAAUCUGAUUUGAAUGUUUCCAGGCCUAAAUAUUAUUCAAAAUUUUAAAAACAGCCAGCAACAAGUAAGAAAGAAACUAAAAUAUUAUUUUUGUUCUGCACCUGAAGCUAUUAAGGCAAGCGGCCCAAGUUGGAGAUGGAGGAUCCCCAGUUCCACGUUUUGAUAUUUAUGAUAUAUUUCUCUAUUCAUAGUCAAAAACAUGUCCUGGUGUGUUUUUGUUGUUGUUACGCUAUGCAGGGAAUGGCUUUGAUGUCCUCCAGAGGUAACAUCAAACACAAAUCACGUCGCUUUGACAUCUCCUGUUCUCGGGUGCAAUCUCUCCGGGAAACACUGUCCAGGCCUCCCUCCCGUCUCUUCAUAGCAGAGCACCGAGAACUUCACAGCCCAGCGCUUUCCCAUCACCAUGGAGACCACGGCCGAAUCUCGCCUAUUCCACUGAUUUAUAGAAAAUAGAUCAUUUCAGAACCUCUUGUGCAUAAUUCAUUAUAGUGGUUGGUGUGUGUCUUUCUCUCGGUGCGUGCAUGUUAGAUAAGACGACAAGUGUUUCACAGAAUAUAGGUCCUUAGGUAAGAUUUAAGACAUGUACAUAGAUAUACUUUGUUUGUCCUCAUAAAUUAAUUCCUCUGCAGACAGACAUAAUGCCAGGUCUAGUUUGGACAAUGUAUACCAUCAAAUAUUUACUACAAAUAGUAUCCGUUGGACAUCACAGUGGAUUGGAAACAAGCUUUCUUAAGACCGGUUUUAGUUAAUGGUCAUAAAAUGAAAACAGAAUUUGGGGAUGGAUCGUGUGGUCUGGUGUGAAUGGUUCCAACUGCUAAAAUGUAUAAAGAUUUCCUCCCUGAAGUAAUAGUUAAGAAUCCUUGGGGAAAACAAAGAAACAUUUAUUCUUCUUGCAUGCAAACUUUGUUUUAUCUUAUAAUAUUGAUGUUUAUGUCUCCAUGUUGAUAUGAUGGAAAAAGCAACAUGACAUAAUGUAAAACAGAAUCACCAUUAUCAUUGUGUUCACCAGAGGCACGCAACAGUCCAGUGAGAUACACACUACCUUUUAAAAGUUAGGGGUCACUUAGAAAUGUCUUUGUUUCUGAAAGAAAUCCACAUUUUUUGUCCAUUAAAAUAACCAAAUUGAUCAGAAAUACAGUUUAGACAUUGUUAAUGACUAUUGUAGCUGGAAACGGCAGAUUAAAAAAUAUAAAUGGAAUGUCUACAUAGGCGUACAGAGGCCCAUUAUCAGCAACUUCACUCCUGUGUUCCAAUGGCACGUUGUGUUAGCUAAUCCGAGUUUAUAAUUUUAAAAGGCUAAUUGAUCAUUAGAAAACCCUUUUGCAAGUAUCUUAGCACAGCUGAAAACUGUUGUGUUGAUUAAAGAAGCGAUACAACUGUCCUUCUUUAGACUAGUUGAGUAUCUGGAGCAUCAGCAUUUGUGGGUUCGGUUGCAGGCUCAAAAUGGCCAGAAACAAAUAACUUUCUUCUGAAACUUAUCAGUCUAUUCUUGUUCUGUGAAAUGAAGGCUAUUCCAUGUGAGAAAUUGCCAAGAAACUGAAGAUCUCAUACAGUGCUGUGUACUACUCCCUUCACAGAACAGCGCAAACUGGCUAACCAGAAUAGAAAGACGAGUGGGAGGCCCUGGUGCACAACUGAGCAAGAGGACAAGUACACUAGAGUGCCUAGUUUGAGAAACAGAUACCUCACAAGUCCUCAACUGACAGCUUCAUUAAAUAGUAUCUGCAAAACACCAGUCUCAACGUCAACAGUGAAGAGGCGAUUCCAUAGAUGCUGGCCUUCUAGGCAUUUCUUGCAUGGAAUAGCCUUCAUUUCUCAGAACAAAAAUAGAUCAAUUGUUUCUAGCCAUUUUGAGCAUGUAAUUGAACCCACAGAUGCUGAUGCUCCAGAUACUCAACUAGUCUAAAGAAGGCCAAUUUUAUUGCUUCUUUAAUCAGAACAACAGUUUUCAGCUGUGCUAACAUAAUUGCAAAAGGGUUUUCUAAUUAUCAAUUAGCCUUUUAAAAUGAUACACUUGGAUCAGCCAACACAACGUGCCAUUGGAACACAGGAAUGAUGGUUGCUGAUAAUGGGCCUCUGUACGCCUAUGUAGAUAUUUCAUAAAAAUUCAGCCGUUUCCAGCUACAAUAGUCAUUUACAACAUUAACAAUGUCUACACUGUAUUUCUAAUCAAUUUGAUGUUAUUUUAAUGGACAAAAAUGAGCGUUUCUUCCAAAAACAAGGACAUUUCUAAGUGACCCCAAACUUUUGAACGGUAGUGUAUGUAUGAUACAGUAUAAGCAAUGUUAUUAUGCCAAAUGACAUUUCUGUUUUGUCCUGUAUGGGAUUUCCCUCUGGUGACCAUAGUAAAGAUAUUUGGAUGGAUUGGAAGAAGCAUAUAGGCAAAGUUGAAAAAAUACUAUAAGCAACAUUUAUUUAUCUUCAACCUAGCAUAUAGAGAGACAUGUUGGGAACAUAUCUCUAUUUUCAACCAAAAUCAUAGUCACUAUGUCACAUGUCAACAUUUGAGGAAAGCACAGUGUGUUGUGAUGUCUAUGCUGCCAUGCUAUCUGCUGCCUCGCCCUCCAAUCCAUACCUCUGUCCUCCAUGGUGUAUUUCAGGACCAGUGAUAGAUAGAUUUCCACUAUUUACGGUAUAUGUUACAUAUUUAUUAUUUAGAAGUGGCGGUUGCUAUCACCAUAUUUCACCUUGUUCUAAUUCCCUAGGUUGAUCUUAAUUUAAACUAACCAUGUGUGAUAUGGUUUAGCACUGUAGAGCUGCUACUGUCUGUAUUUUUAUCGUUGUGUCCUAUAAAAGUGUCUGAAUGUUCUCAAUAAAUAUAGUCAUCUAUAAUUUACAAAU